GAGGCUUUAGCUUAAUUAAAGCGUCUGUUUUGCAUGCAGAAGAUGUGGGUUAGUUUCCCGUAAGUCUUA
rnacentral:tRNA from 1 species